rnacentral:lncRNA from 1 species
GUUCACCCUCGAUCAUCUCCUUGUAAUUGUGGUGGAGGCAGGUUUAUGCUGAAGACAAUAUUUUAUAUAUAUAUAUUUUAUUUCACCUUUAUUUAGCUAGGUAGGCAAGUUGAGAGCAAGUAUUCAUUUACAAUUGCGACCUGGCCAAGAAUAAAGCAAAGCAGUUCGACACAUACAACAACACAGAGUUAGACAUGGAAUAAACAAAACAUACAGUCAAUAAUACAGUUGAAGAAAAUCUAUAUACAGUGUGUGCAAAUGAGGUAAGAAAAGGGAGGUAAUGCCUCCAUGGACAUUGCAGAGGAAAAAUACACAAAGAGAGGUGCGGGGAGCUGCCUUCAUCGAUGUCAUCGGCGCCCGGGGAGCAGUUGUUGUUGGGUGUUAACUGCCUUGCUCAAG